rnacentral:lncRNA from 1 species
GCGCGGACUCGUGGAGACUGCUGCUCACCGUGAGUCUACUGGCUUGGCUCUGUCCCCCACACCAUCCAGCUUUGUUUGGUAGUUUUUUCAGGCCCCAUUCCGGUCUCUCGUGUGAUCUGCCUGACGUCCCUAAAGGCAGAGAAUAGCUGCAGUAUCACCCGGAUCCCCUGGUGGGAUACUCAGUUGUUGCCAUCAAUCACAUUGUUGACUUUAAGGAAAAGAAACGGGUAAAGUAGAAUUUCUCAUGUAACUGGUUGCUAAAUACAAGUGUUUAUAAAUCCUUGUGUCUGUGUUGGGAAUAUGGAUCUAGAGACAAGUGUACUAGUUAACUGUUCUUGUUGCUAUGACCACAUACCUGCAAAGCAACUUAAGGAAGGAGGAGUUUAUUUUGCUUAUCCUCUGACGGUAUAGUCCAUCAUGGCAGUAGGAGCGUGAAGUGGCUGGUCACAGCUUCUCCUCAGUCAUGAAGCAGAAAGAGACAAAUGUUGGGGCUUCGCUCACCUCCUUCUUUAGUUAAUUCGCUCAGGCUCCCAACCCGUGAAGUAGCACAGCUCCCGUUCAGGGUGGAAACACCAUCAUAGAAAUAGACAGAGAUGUGUUUCUGUGGUCAUUCAAGGAUCCUUCAUCCUAAGCAUGUUUCUCUUUUGCGGCAAGGUCUUAUAUGUCUCACUCUGGCCAAGGAUGAUGGCCUCCUGCCUCUGCCUUCCCAGUGCUGAGAUUACAGGCUCAUAGGGAAGGCCUUAGGGAUUUUAGAAGGCAUGUACCAACUGAGCUGUAUCCUCAACCCUCAACUAUAUUUCUUAAAAACCCUGUGUUUCAGGGCCCCCAAUGGAGGAACUAGAGAAAGUACCAAGGAGCUAAAGGGUUCUGCAACCCUAUAGGUGGAACAACAAUAUGAACUAACCAGUACCCCCAGGGCUCGUGUCUCUAGCUGCAUAUGUAGCAGAAGAUGGCCUAGUUGGCCAUCAUUGGAAAGAGAGGCCCCUUGGUCUUGCAAACUUUAUAUGCCUCAGUACAGGGGAACGCCAGGGCCAAGAAGUGGGAGUGGGUGGGUAGGGGAGUGGGGGAGGGUAGGGUAUGGGGGACUUUUGGGAUAGCAUUUGAAAUGUAAAUGAAGAAAAUACCUAAUUAAAAAAUUAGAUAUAAAAAAACCCCUGUGUUUAUUUACUUUAGCAAUUGAACAUAUACAAAUGAUUUUUGUUUUGUUUGUGAAAAAUUCUAAUGUAGUAUAAGGAUUCCUAAUGUUGCGUUUAUAUUAACUAAGUUACUUUCAAAGAUGUUUAAAAGUACAUUGCCAUUAAAUGAACUGAAAGCAUGUCAUCUUGUUUACUGUGCCAUGGUCUCAUGAACUCAUUGACUGAUUUCUCUCCUUGAUAGACUGUCAAUAUGUAUAUUUCUUUUUAGGCAAACAACUAUAUGUGUGUCAUUUCUGUCUUUAAGAUUUGCUUUUGGUUUUGAGGGUUGUUUUGUUUUUUCCUAAUAGGGUUUCUCUGUGUAGCCCUGGCUGUCCUGGAACUCACUCUCUAGACCAGGCUGACCUUGAACUCAGAGAUCCUCCUGUCUCUGAGUGCUGAAAUUAAGAGCAUGUAGGCAUGUACCACCACCGUCUGACCUCUACUCCUAACCUCUGAUGUUCUUAGCAUCUGCUCUUAACUUCUGCUCUCUGGUUUCUUUCCUUAAAAAAGAAAGAGAAUACCCUGGAGAGAUGGCUCAGUGGUUUAGAGCACUGACUGCUCUUCCAGAGGUCCCGAGUUCAAUUCCCAGCAACCACAUGAUGGCUCACAACCAUCUGUAAUGGGUCCUGUAGCCUUCCUCUAGUGUGUCUGAAAACAGCUACAGUCUACUCAUAUACAUAAAAUAAAUAAUUCUUU